GAAGUUUCUCUGACAGCAGGCAUGGUAGCACACACCUGUGGUCCCAGACACUUAGGAGACUGAGGCAGGAAGAUCACCUGAGCUCAGGAGCUCAAGGCUGGUCUGGGCAACAGUGACAGACCUUGUCCUGUGAAAAAGAAAAAAUUCUAUGAUAUGUACUGUCAUCUUAGAUUAACGAAAGCUCAGUACAGUCCAAGAAGCCUUGCAUAUUGGCCUUGAUGAGCGGAACAUGAAGAUGGAGGAUGUCACACCCACUGGUUCACAGGGCCUGACUGUGGUUAAGUUCCCAGAAGUGUGUAUUUUUUUCAAUUCACCCACAGCCCGUGUUACAGCGGCUUGAUGCUGAGCUACACUGAGAAGCAGAAGGCUCAUGAAGCUUGUCCAGUUGCCACCGAGCGGCUAUGAGCAAAACCUGUGGCUUUGUAAAAGGUCAAUAAUAGAAGUUCUUGGGUGGCAGUGAGUCAAGGUGGUAAUCAUGAGAAACUCUCAAAUGCCACAGUCCACACCAGCUGGUCGUCAUGGCCAUAAUGUGUCCCCUCCGGGUGGUGAGGUGCUGAAGGCCGAUGAACAGAGGGAGAGAGGAAGCUGCAGGCUGGCAGACGGCUGGUGGUCACAACCAUAGGCCUUAACGUAAUCACAACACAGUCGGACACCACUGUAGGAACGGAGGGCAGAAGACUCCUGGGCCC
rnacentral:lncRNA from 1 species